AGCGAACGCUGGCGGCAGGCCUAACACAUGCAAGUCGAACGAAGUCUUCGGACUUAGUGGCGGACGGGUGAGUAACACGUGGGAACGUGCCUUUAGGUUCGGAAUAACUCAGGGAAACUUGUGCUAAUACCGAAUGUGCCCUUCGGGGGAAAGAUUUAUCGCCUUUAGAGCGGCCCGCGUCUGAUUAGCUAGUUGGUGAGGUAAUGGCUCACCAAGGCUACGAUCAGUAGCUGGUCUGAGAGGAUGACCAGCCACAUUGGGACUGAGACACGGCCCAAACUCCCACGGGAGGCAGCAGUGGGGAAUCUUGCGCAAUGGGCGAAAGCCUGACGCAGCCAUGCCGCGUGGAUGAUGAAGGUCUUAGGAUUGUAAAAUCCUUUCACCGGUGAAGAUAAUGACUGUAGCCGGAGAAGAAGCCCCGGCUAACUUCGUGCCAGCAGCCGCCGUAAUAC
rnacentral:rRNA from 1 species